UCCGCGGUAGUGCAAUUGGUUAGCACAACAGACCUGACAUCUGUAGAUGCGGGUUCGAGUCCCGUUUGAGGUU
rnacentral:tRNA from 1 species